rnacentral:tRNA from 1 species
GUGGAUGUAGCUCAGCAGGUUAGAGCGUCAGAUUGUGGAUCUGAAGGCCGUGGGUUCGAGCCCCAUCUUCCACC